ensembl:snoRNA U8 U8 small nucleolar RNA
UCCUCAGAUGGCAUAAUUUUACUUGUUUCUCCCGUUGGAGGGCAGAUUAGAAAAUGAUGAUUAGGCUGGGGGCAGUGGCUCAUGUCUGUA